rnacentral:rRNA from 1 species
ACGUAGGGUGCGAGCGUUAAUCGGAAUUACUGGGCGUAAAGCGUGCGCAGGCGGAUUGUUAAGCAAGACGUGAAAUCCCCGGGCUUAACCUGGGAAUGGCGUUUUGAACUGGCAGUCUAGAGUGUGUCAGAGGGGGGUGGAAUUCCACGUGUAGCAGUGAAAUGCGUAGAGAUGUGGAGGAACACCAAUGGCGAAGGCAGCCCCCUGGGAUAACACUGACGCUCAUGUACGAAAGCGUGGGUAGCAAACAGGAUUAGAUACCCUGGUAGUCCACGCCCUAAACGAUGUCAACUGGUUGUUGGGGGAGUGAAAUCCCUUAGUAACGAAGCUAACGCGUGAAGUUGACCGCCUGGGGAGUACGGUCGCAAGAUUA